UAAGGUUUUUUUUUUUUUUUUUUUUUUUUUUUUUUUUUAAUGUCUCAUGUGAUCAUUGAUGUGCAAAAAGUUACAAUUUUGAGUUUGGCAUUCCAAACUUUGUACAUGAUCAUUGAGAAGAGACUAGAGCUCUAGAGACUAACAAAAUAAGGAAAUUAUACACAAUUCAAGGUGGAUCAUACACAAAAUGAGAAGGUUUAAUUUUAAUCUGUCUAAAGGAUGGGAGACUCCAUUUGUCCAUAUUGAUUAGCCCUCGAAUGUUGCUGGGGAGAUUAGAGAAGAGGGUGAAGACCUUGAUUUCCUCAAUUUUGUGACUUAGCGAGGCUAAUGCAUUAGCUGGCUGGUUAGCCUCUCUAAAACAGUGGACGAUACUAAAUUUAUGGUCCUCAAUCAUCUUUUGAAUCUCCUGUACCUGGUUGCUGAUUUUCCAAGGGGGUUUCCACUCUCUUUUUACAGUUUUGGAUAAAAGUAAUGAGUCUGUUUCUCC
rnacentral:lncRNA from 1 species